rnacentral:rRNA from 1 species
UACGUAGGGGGCAAGCGUUGUCCGGAAUCAUUGGGCGUAAAGAGCGUGUAGGCGGCUUGGUAAGUCCGCUGUGAAAGUCCAGGGCUCAACCCUGGAAAGCCGGUGGAAACUGUCAAGCUUGAGUCCGGAAGAGGCGAGUGGAGUUCCUGGUGUAGCGGUGAAAUGCGCAGAUAUCAGGAGGAACACCAAUGGCGAAGGCAGCUCGCUGGGACGGUACUGACGCUGAGACGCGAAAGCGUGGGGAGCAAACAGG